rnacentral:rRNA from 1 species
CAAACUCCGGUUUUUUCCUUUGCAGUCAGAUCAGCGGUUCGUCCGCGAAUUUAUUAAAGUUAAAACUUUCAACAACGGAUCUCUUGGUUCUCGCAUCGAUGAAGAACGCAGCGAAAUGCGAUAAGUAGUGUGAAUUGCAGAAUUCAGUGAAUCAUCGAAUCUUUGAACGCACAUUGCGCCCUCUGGUAUUCCGGGGGGCAUGCCUGUCCGAGCGUCAUGA